AAUAUUGGUCAAUGGGCGGGAGCCUGAACCAGCCAUGCCGCGUGCGGGACGAAGGCCNNNUGGGUNGAAAACCGCUUUUACACNGGANAAACCGCAGCUACGAGUAGCUGCCUGAGGGUACCGUUGGAAUAAGGCUCGGCUAACCCCGGGCCAGCAGCCGCGGUAAUACGGAGGAUCCGAGCGUUAUCCGGAAUUAUUGGGUUUAAAGGGUGCGUAGGCGGCACUUUAAGUCAGGGGUGAAAUACAGCGGCUAAACCGUUGCAGUGCCCUUGAUACUGAAGUGCUUGAAUGUGGCCGAAGGAGGCGGAACGGGACAAGUAGCGGUGAAAUGCAUAGAUAUGUCCCAGAACCCCGAUUGCGAAGGCAGCUUCCUAGACCGUUAUUGACGCUGAUGAACGAAAGCGUGGGGAUCGAACA
rnacentral:rRNA from 1 species